GCUGGCGUAGCUCAGUGGUAGAGCAGCGCACUCGUAAUGCGCAGGUCGAGGGUUCGAGUCCCUCCGCCAGCUCCA
rnacentral:tRNA from 1 species